rnacentral:rRNA from 1 species
UACAGAGGGGGCAAGCGUUGUUCGGAAUUACUGGGCGUAAAGGGCGCGUAGGUGGCCUUCUAAGUUGAACGUGAAAUCCCUGGGCUCAACCCAGGAACUGCGUCCAAGACUGGGAGGCUUGAAUCCGGGAGAGGGAUGCGGAAUUCCAGGUGUAGCGGUGAAAUGCGUAGAUAUUGGGAAGAACACCGGUGGCGAAGGCGGCGACCUGGUCCUUUUACUGACGCUGAGGCGCGAAAGCGUGGGGAGCAAACAGG